rnacentral:rRNA from 1 species
UACGGGGGGGGCAAGCGUUGUUCGGAAUUACUGGGCGUAAAGGGCUCGUAGGCGGCCAACUAAGUCGGAUGUGAAAUCCCCAGGCUUAACCUGGGAACUGCAUCCGAUACUGGAUGGCUUGAAUCCGGGAGAGGGAUGCAGAAUUCCAGGUGUAGCGGUGAAAUGCGUAGAUAUCUGGAGGAAUACCGGUGGCGAAGGCGGCAUCCUGGACCGGUAUUGACGCUGAGGCGCGAAAGCUAGGGGAGCAAACGGG